AUUUACUGUAAAUAAUCCCAUGCACAAACACAGCCAGAUGACAUGCACUGAAUACUUAGUAGGACUGUAGUUUAUCAUCUUUAUGUAAACGUAACUAAGUGCACUAGUAAGAUGAAUUAACUUAAACAAGAGCAACAUCUGUAAGAAGUAAGAAGCGUCCCCUGACAGCCAGCUGUGGUUCAGAAUUAUAUGCGAUCUCUCGCUGGUCGCCGUCACCUCCCACAUCAAAUCUGGUCCUGAUUUCCACCCAGUUACGUGGUGCUUGGGGUGGGGUGGGGGGGUGAUUGUCCAGCAUAAAGGCCUCUUUAUUCACGCCGGACAGGGAAAGGAAAUCGGCUUCAGAAGAAAAAACACGCCAGCACACCACAGGCCCGCACAUCUGGAGUUAUUACAAGCCCGCCGUCUUGCCAAGAAACUCCGACAUUCCUGCAGCGCUACAAAGCCAUGCAGCCCCCCCCCCCACACACACACACACUCGAACACGCUACAUGCACCCCGACCCCCUCCCCGAAAUGACACAACACAUGCAGAAAAUGAAUGCGCUUCACUUCCUGUUGACCUUUGACCCCCCACUUCCUGCCGACUCCCCAAAAAGCAGAAAAGCCAGACAGAGGCGGGAAGGAGAACGAAGCCCCGCCUCUUUCUCCUCUCUUGCUCCUUGGCUCUCUCACUAGUAAAGUUAGUUAACAGUCCAAUGCCACGUCAAGCCUGCGAGUCACUGCAGAGACGAGGCGCUCGCCCACAGAUGCUGAUUCCAGAAGAUGUUACUGGACACACUUUUAUGAUUUAUUCGGGAACACGGAAUGAUGGGGAAGAAGCGACGGUGAGGAUGAAGAUGCACACUGAGAAACACUGGGAAAACUGAGAUCAGCACUGGACAAACAGCUGGACUCAUGCUGAAGAGGAGGAUGAGACUCCAUCACAGUCUCUUCAGACGCCCGUCCCGCCUGCCCAGUGUUCAGACUACCUGUUCAGGAAGUAGUGUUUGUACAGUAGUCUGCACAUUGGUUAGGCUGCACGGGGAUGCUCGAGACGGUCCGUCGCCAUGACGACUCCAGAACACAUCGCCAUGACGACAGCAGAUCAUGACACUGAUGUAAUCAGCGUGGAGUGAUGUCAGAGAAAUAAUGAAAUGCAAAAUAAAGUAUGAAAUGAUACCAA